AAUUGAAUAGUUUGGGCACUCAUUCUUCUGCUUUAUCUAUCAUGGAGAGCAGCAAAAGAUCAGGUCAGCUAAGCAGGUGGGAAGGAAAAUGCCUACAAGCGUAUGUCAGCAGCCAGCCCAGCCAGCACUCACUCCCCAUUAUAGUCAGUGGGAGAACAGAAGGCUACCCAAUAGCUCUGCCUGUUAAAGUGGAGAGUAAACUUAUUUUUUGCUAGCUUGAAACCAGGCGAAAGUGUAAUAGGAACAAAGUCUGAGGACUGAGAUAUUAAGGUUGUUCAAGCCUUAAAUAUUUGUUGAUCAUCAGGAAAGCAAACUUCAGAACUCAAGCUGUGAUCUGGUCCCUCACUUGCCCCGGACUCAACCACAACUUGUAUUUAUAUAGCGUCUUUCAUAUAAGAGAACAUCUCAAAGUUCUUUGCAGCGUGAACCUUGAGUAAGAUGGGAGAUGACCGAGGUUUUUUAGACAGGUUUUCAAAGCAGAGCUAAAG